UGGAAACUGCAGGAUAGUUUGAGGAGCGUAUCAACAGUGGAGGAAGGUGGGCACUUCCUCAGAGAUUGCCCAGUCACAUAAAGGGCAGUUCUAUAAAUGCUUGAGCCUCGCGAGCCGCCGAUCUUUUGGGAGUGAAUGAGUGUCGCGAGACGUUCUUCUCCGUCUUUAUGAAGGCUUUUUGCGGCCAGUGGUCGCCGAAGGAACUCGAAGGGCCCCUCAACUGCAGCCCUUCCUGGAGAGCUUCAGUUGGUCUGGGCCCUGCGUUAAUCCUUUCCUCUGAAUCUUCUGGCUCCUUUUUUUUUUUUUUUUUUUUACAGAGCAUGGCGAGUCGGCUGCAGACUUUGACUGUAAAUCAGCUACAACUAGAGAUCCAUCGGGCAGGAGGGUUUGCUGGUAAGCUGGACAUCUGUCUAUGUGAAUUUCUUAGCAAUAAAGCAAAAGUGCAACCUUA